AAGUCGUAACAAGGUUUCCGUAGGUGAACCUGCGGAAGGAUCAUCAGCAGGGGACUCUGUGCCCGUUAGGGCAGCGAGACCAUAUCACACUUGCACUGCGUGCACCGUAGUUAGUCCGGCGCUCUGUUGCCCGGGAGGGCGUUGCCCGAGAGGGCGUUGCCCGAGAGGGCGUUGCCCGAGAGGGCAGCAUCGGCGCUAGUGGCCACCAUUCACAGCAUCAGUCUGAAAACAUCCAAACACAAAUAGACAACUUUCAUCAGUGGAUCUCUGGGCUCUC
rnacentral:misc_RNA from 1 species